CGAAAUGCGAUAAGUAAUGUGAAUUGCAGAAUUCAGUGAAUCAUCGAAUCUUUGAACGCACCUUGCGCUCCUUGGUAUUCCGAGGAGCAUGCCUGUUUGAGUGUCAUUAAAUUCUCAACCUCGCCCAUUUUGUCAUGAAGUGGUGCGCAGGCUUGGAUUGUGGGGGUUUGCAGGUCCGGCGCGAGCUGGUCUGCUCCUCUGAAAUGCAUUAGUGGGUUGGUGCCCCUCAUCUAUUGGUGUGAUAAUUAUCUACGCCGUGGAUCAGUGUUGGCAACAAUGGAGACCUGCUUCUAACCGUCCGACUCGGGCAACCUGACUAUUUUUGACCUCAAAUCAGGUAAGACUACCCGCUGAACUUAAGC
rnacentral:misc_RNA from 1 species